CCUACGGGGGGCAGCAGUGAGGAAUAUUGGUCAAUGGGCGCGAGCCUGAACCAGCCAAGUAGCGUGAAGGAUGACUGCCCUACGGGUUGUAAACUUCUUUUAUAAAGGAAUAAAGUGAGGCACGUGUGCCUUUUUGUAUGUACUUUAUGAAUAAGGAUCGGCUAACUCCGUGCCAGCAGCCGCGGUAAUACGGAGGGUCCGAGCGUUAUCCGGAUUUAUUGGGUUUAAAGGGAGCGUAGAUGGGUUGUUAAGUCAGUUGUGAUAGUUUGCGGCUCAACCGUAAAAUGGAAAUUGAUACUGGCAGCCUUGAGUACAGUUGAGGUAGGCGGAAUUCUUGGUGUAGCAGUGAAAUGCUUAGAUAUGACGAAGAACUCCGAUUGCGAAGGCAGCCUACUAAACUGCCACUGACAUUGAUGCUCGAAAGUGUGGGUAUCAAACAGGAUUAGAUACCCCGGUAGUC
rnacentral:rRNA from 1 species